GAUGAACGCUGGCGGCGUGCCUAAUACAUGCAAGUCGAGCGAACGGACGAGAAGCUUGCUUCUCUGAUGUUAGCGGCGGACGGGUGAGUAACACGUGGAUAACCUACCUAUAAGACUGGGAUAACUUCGGGAGACCGGAGCUAAUACCGGAUAAUAUUUUGAUCCGCAUGGUUCAAAAGUGAAAGACGGUCUUGCUGUCACUUAUAGAUGGAUCCGCGCUGCAUUAGCUAGUUGGUAAGGUAACGGCUUACCAAGGCAACGAUGCAUAGCCGACCUGAGAGGGUGAUCGGCCACACUGGAACUGAGACACGGUCCAGACUCCUACGGGAGGCAGCAGUAGGGAAUCUUCCGCAAUGGGCGAAAGCCUGACGGAGCAACGCCGCGUGAGUGAUGAAGGUCUUCGGAUCGUAAAACUCUGUUAUUAGGGAAGAACAUAUGUGUAAGUAACUGUGCACAUCUUGACGGUACCUAAUCAGAAAGCCACGGCUAACUACGUG
rnacentral:rRNA from 1 species